rnacentral:hammerhead_ribozyme from 1 species
AUACAGCUGACAAGUCCUAAAUAGGAUGGAACGCACGUCCUGGAU